GCUAUGGGUAUAACCCAUGAGUUGGGUGGUGCGCAAUUUACUGUCAUGACUAUACCUGUAUUCUACAUGUUUUUAUAGACCUACAUACAGGUAUAGUUAGAGGACAGUAGCAGGCUGGGUGAGGUGGAGACAGGUGACAGUGAGAUUAGUAUAGUUAGAGACAGGUAGCAGGCUGGGGUGGAGACAGGUGACAGUGAGAUUAGUAUAGUUAGAGACAGGUAGCAGGCUGGGGUGAGGUGGAGACAGGUGACAGUGAGAUUAGGUAUAGUUAGAGACAGGUAGCAGGCUGGGGUGAGGUGGAGACAGGUGACAGUGAGAUUAGGUAUAGUUAGAGACAGGUAGCAGGCUGGGGUGAGGUGGAGACAGGUGACAGUGAGAUUAGGUAUAGUUAGAGACAGGUAGCCGGCUGGGGUGAGGUGGAGACAGGUGACAGUGAGAUUAGGUAUAGUUAGAGACAGGUAGCAGGCUGGGGUGAGGUGGAGACAGGUGACAGUGAGAUUAGGUAUAGUUAGAGGACAGGUAGCAGGCUGGGGUGAGGUGGAGACAGGUGACAGUGAGAUUAGGUAUAGUUAGAGACAGGUAGCAGGCUGGGGUGAGGUGGAGACAGGUGACAGUGAGAUUAGGUAUAGUUAGAGACAGAUAGAUGGUGGUUCCUAACUAUCACGUGGUCAUGUAUGCAACAGUACUAGUUACAAUACAAGGACCGGAGUUUUUACCCACUGAACACUCUGAUGACUGUUGGGAAGGUGAAAUAUCCAGAUAGAAGUCCCUAAAGUACAUGUAUAUUGAAUUAAUCCUUAAAAUAUUUCCAAUUUUUAGAAUUGUUAACCAAAUUAGAUUUAGAGAUUGCAAUAUUAAAGUGUACAUUUUUUUGUUGUUGGUUCAUUUGAAAUGAAGAAGGGGAACAAGACAUUAUAAAACAUACUUUAUUAUUAUAUAGAGUAAUAAAACCUCUUUUUCUUCUGGCUGUUUCUACCCACAACGUUGUAUACAAUUGCUGGUUUUGUAAUAUGCUGUAGAGCAAGCAGUUCCACUGUUCCUUUUUUUUUUUUUUUAUAGAGAGAAAUGUUAUUUCAAUGGUGUAUUCUUUUUGUU